AUUCAUGAUGCAUCCACGUCCCACUGUGACCACCAGCCCAGUGUCCUUUCUGUCAGUCGCUUUGGUCACUGCCUGAUGUCCCCUGCUGCCCGCUAUCAGGCGUCUCAGCUCCAAGCCAGACAGAGUGAAUGCAUGAGCAGCGGCGGCCAUGAAGUGAAACAUGCAAAGCGCCGCCAUCAGAGAACCAACAGGAACAGGUUUGGAACAGGAUGAGCAGAAGGACAGGCGAGCUGUGGCUGGUCCGUUCUGUUGUUUGACUUUAUAAGCAUCUAAAGCAGAGGUCUGACCAGCUGCUGGUCUCUGCAGCUCCUCCAGAGCCACCAU